AAAAACACAGCACUGUGCAAAAUCGUAAGAUGACGUAUACGGUGUGACGCCUGCCCGGUGCCGGAAGGUUAAUUGAUGGGGUUAGACUUCGGUCGAAGCUCUUGAUCGAAGCCCCGGUAAACGGCGGCCGUAACUAUAACGGUCCUAAGGUAGCGAAAUUCCUUGUCGGGUAAGUUCCGACCUGCACGAAUGGCGUAAUGAUGGCCACGCUGUCUCCACCCGAGACUCAGUGAAAUUGAAAUCGCUGUGAAGAUGCAGUGUACCCGCGGCUAGACGGAAAGACCCCGUGAACCUUUACUACAGCUUGGCACUGAACAUUGACCCUACAUGUGUAGGAUAGGUGGGAGGCUUUGAAGCAGGUACGCCAGUAUCUGUGGAGCCGUCCUUGAAAUACCACCCUUGUAGUGUUGAUGUUCUAACGUCGACCCCUAAUCGGGGUUGCGGACAGUGCCUGGUGGGUAGUUUGACUGGGGCGGUCUCCUCCCAAAGAGUAACGGAGGAGCACGAAGGUGGGCUAAUCACGGUUGGACAUCGUGAGGUUAGUGCAAUGGCAUAAGCCCGCUUGACUGCGAGAAUGACAAUUCGAGCAGGUGCGAAAGCAGGUCAUAGUGAUCCGGUGGUUCUGAAUGGAAGGGCCAUCGCUCAACGGAUAAAAGGUACUCCGGGGAUAACAGGCUGAUACCGCCCAAGAGUUCAUAUCGACGGCGGUGUUUGGCACCUCGAUGUCGGCUCAUCACAUCCUGGGGCUGAAGUCGGUCCCAAGGGUAUGGCUGUUCGCCAUUUAAAGUGGUACGCGAGCUGGGUUUAGAACGUCGUGAGACAGUUCGGUCCCUAUCUGCCGUGGGCGUUGGAAGAUUGAAGGGGGCUGCUCCUAGUACGAGAGGACCGGAGUGGACGAACCUCUGGUGUUCGGGUUGUGUCGCCAGACGCAUUGCCCGGUAGCUAAGUUCGGAAUCGAUAACCGCUGAAAGCAUCUAAGCGGGAAGCGAGCCCUGAGAUGAGUCUUCCCUGAUACUUUAAGUAUCCUAAAGGGUUGUCGGAGACUACGACGUUGAUAGGUCAGGUGUGUAAGUGCUGUGAGGCAUUGAGCUAACUGAUACUAAUUGCCCGUGAGGCUUAACCAUACAACACCCAAGGGGUUU
rnacentral:rRNA from 1 species